GGUGUUGUGGCUCAGUGGCAAAGCGCUCAUCUAGCAUGUGUGAGCUCUGGGUUCGAUCCUUAGCACCG
rnacentral:tRNA from 1 species